CCGGUUUUUGGUGGCCGCUGUCCAGCCCCGCGCCCUUCCCGCUUUUCCGCGCUGCUCCCGCAUGAUCCUGCCGGGAAUUCCGGGCGCUCCCCGGGCGGUUUUGGGGUCGCGGGGCCCGAGCGGGGGAGCCGCAGGGCGGAUGCGGGAUUUGGGGCGCUGAGGCCCCGGCUGGGGGCGAUGCGAGCGCCCGAGGCAGCCGAGGAGGAGGAGGAGGAGCAGAUGCCGCCCUUCGGCUCCGGGGCGGGCGGGCGAUCCCGGCGCUGCCGCUGUGCCCGGGAGCCGUCGCUGGGCGCGGCCGUGCGGGGCCUGUUCGCGCUGGCCGGGAUCCUGCUGCUGGCAGUG